rnacentral:rRNA from 1 species
UAACGGAAGUAGCUUGCUACUAGACGACGACCGGCGCACGGGUGAGUAACGCGUAUGUAAUCUGCCUUGUACAGAGGGAUAGCCCAGAGAAAUUUGGAUUAAUACCUCAUAGUAUUACUGAGUCGCAUGAUUUGGUAAUUAAAGCUCCGGCGGUACAAGAUGAACAUGCGUGACAUUAGCUAGUUGGUAAGGUAACGGCUUACCAAGGCUACGAUGUCUAGGGGUUCUGAGAGGAUGAUCCCCCACACUGGUACUGAGACACGGACCAGACUCCUACGGGAGGCAGCAGUGAGGAAUAUUGGUCAAUGGACGCAAGUCUGAACCAGCCAUCCCGCGUGAAGGAUGACUGCCCUAUGGGUUGUAAACUUCUUUUAUAUGCAAAUAAACCUACUUUCGUGAAAGUAGCUGAAGGUAGCAUAUGAAUAAACACCGGCUAACUCCGUGCCAGCAGCCGCGGUAAUACGGAGGGUGUAAGCGUUAUCCGGAUUUAU